CGCGUAACACGUGGGCAACCUGCCCUAGAGUGGGGGAUAACAAUCCGAAAGGAUUGCUAAUACCGCAUGUGAAUACUGAAGGCAUCUUCGGCUAUUCAAAGGAUUUAUUCGCUCUAGGAUGGGCCCGCGGCCUAUCAGCUAGUUGGUGAGGUAACGGCCCACCAAGGCUUCGACGGGUAGCUGGUCUGAGAGGACGAUCAGCCGGAUUGGGACUGAGAUACGGCCCAG
rnacentral:rRNA from 1 species